UACGGGGGGGGCAAGCGUUGUUCGGAAUUACUGGGCGUAAAGCGUGCGCAGGCGGCUUUGCAAGACAGAUGUGAAAUCCCCGGGCUUAACCUGGGAACUGCAUUUGUGACUGCAUGGCUGGAGUGCGGCAGAGGGGGAUGGAAUUCCGUGGUGUAGCGGUGAAAUGCGCAGAUAUCAGGAGGAACACCGGUGGCGAAGGCGGGUCUCUGGGCCGAUACUGACGCUGAGGAGCGAAAGCGUGGGGAGCAAACAGG
rnacentral:rRNA from 1 species